rnacentral:rRNA from 1 species
CACGUAGGGUGCGAGCGUUGUCCGGAAUUAUUGGGCGUAAAGAGCUCGUAGGCGGUGUGUCGCGUCGGCCGUGAAAACCUGCAGCUUAACUGUGGGCUUGCGGUCGAUACGGGCAUCACUGGAGUUCGGCAGGGGAGACUGGAAUUCCUGGUGUAGCGGUGAAAUGCGCAGAUAUCAGGAGGAAACACCGGUGGCGAAGGCGACUACCUGGCCUGU